rnacentral:rRNA from 1 species
UGGCGAACGGGUGAGUAACACGUGGGCAACCUGCCCAAAAGAGGGGGAUAACACUUGGAAACAGGUGCUAAUACCGCAUAACCAUAGUUACCGCAUGGUAACUAUGUAAAAGGUGGCUAUACUACCGCUUUUGGAUGGGCCCGCGGCGCAUUAGCUAGUUGGUGGGGUAAAGGCUUACCAAGGCAAUGAUGCGUAGCCGAACUGAGAGGUUGAUCGGCCACAUUGGGACUGAGACACGGCCCAAACUCCUACGGGAGGCAGCAG